rnacentral:lncRNA from 1 species
CUUGAGAUCCAACAUGGCUUGCCAAGCAAAAGCUAUCACCCUUCUUCUAUCCAUCUUAGCUGUCUCCUUCUGCAAACCCUCAAAUGGUGCAGGCAUCGCCAUCUACUGGGGUCAAAAUGGCAAUGAAGGCAGCUUAGCUGAUACUUGUAACUCAGGAAACUAUCAAUUUGUGAACGUAGCUUUCCUAUCUAGUUUCGGCAAUGGCCAAUCUCCGGUGCUGAACCUAGCAGGCCAUUGUGAUCCCAACGCCGGUACUUGCACCGGCAUAAGCAAUGACAUUAGAUCUUGUCAAAAUCAAGGAAUCAAGGUGCUGCUUUCCAUUGGAGGUGGUGCAGGCGGCUACUCCCUUUCAUCGGCCGACGAUGCAGGGCAAGUUGCAAACUAUAUCUGGAAUAACUUCCUUGGUGGUCAGUCCAGCUCACGUCCGCUAGGCGAUGCCAUCUUAGACGGGGUUGAUUUUGACAUCGAGUCAGGUUCAGGCCAGUUCUGGGAUGAUCUUGCUAGGGCACUUAAUGGCUUUAGCCAACAAAGGAAGGUAUACUUGGCUGCAGCUCCACAAUGCAUCUUCCCUGAUGCUAAUCUAGACACUGCAAUCAAAACUGGCCUGUUUGAUUACGUGUGGGUUCAAUUCUAUAACAAUCCUCCAUGUCAAUACGUAAAUGAUGCUACCGGUCUCUUGAGUGCAUGGAACCAAUGGACCACAGUUCAAUCCAAUCAAAUAUUCCUGGGACUACCUGCUGCUCCGGAGGCAGCCCCCAGUGGUGGAUUCAUCCCUGCUGAUGUGCUCAUUUCUCAGGUCCUUCCAUCUAUCAAGGGUUCACCAAAGUAUGGAGGCGUUAUGCUCUGGAGCAAGCAGUAUGACAAUGGGUAUAGUGCAGCUAUAAAGGGCAGUGUCUGAAUUUUUUUCAGCCCUGCUGUUCCCCAUGAUGUGUGCUCCUGAUUCCUGAAUAAAUUUGAUAUGUGUACAUGCCACAAUAUGUUUGUUCUAAAGAGUGUAUGCGGCGAUCAAAAUAUUAUGUUUACUUAAAUUUCAAGCUAAAUAAAACGAAAUUAUAGUUCUCUGACAAGGAAAAUAAUAUAAUAAAUUUACCAGUGAGUUCCUUAUAGUGUUUUUUUUUUUUUUCCAUGAAGCUCAACAAAAGUCUUGUGCUUGUGGAGUAACUUUAUGCCUUCCAAGGUGUUACAAUUUUUUAUGACUUGUUCAAAUAACCGAGAGUCUUCAAAACUCAACUGGGGUGUCUAAAUUUUUCCACUCGAUCCAUGAAUGCAAAUCCCUUGAUAUAUUAAUUUGCUGACAUUUUCAAAGGCAAAAUGUGAAAGAAAGAUAAGUUGUCAAACAAAUGAAUAUUGAAUCCAUGAGAUUAAGGUUAACAGAAAUAAAACUCGUUUUAAUGGAGGAGAAACAAGAAAUGGAAAUGUAAUAAUCAAUUAUUUAGGUUAAAAUUAAUGCACCAUUUUAUUUAAAUUAAACAGCGGAUAAUUUCCUUUUAAACCCACAAUUUAAUAUCCCAAAAAUAGUAGAUACUAAAAUCUAGCAAUAAAUUAAUCAUUUGCUUUAAUCAAAAUAAGAACUAUUCUAAAAUCUAAAUAAGGUUUUUGCUAUAACCCAAGCAAUUUUAUUAUGAAAAGAAACUAUAUAAAUAUAUAUUAAAUAAGGAAACCAGUUUUAAAAAUAAUAAUUUGAUUAUACAAAUACAACCAUGACGGGAAAAAAUAGCAGUUCAUACAUAUGCUUUUAAAAAAUUAUGUAUGUAUUAAAUUUUAUUAGUUACCAAUUACCAAAGCUUUAGUCAUUUCAACAAUAGUUUUAAUAUUUUCAGAUUUAGUUAUAAAAAUAGGUAAAUAGUUAAUUUUAACAAUGAAUUGUUUAAAACAAAAGACAUAUAUUCAUCCAGUAAUUCAAUAAUAAUGUUACUUCAUCAUAGUUGUUAAACAUGCAUAUCUACUCAUGUUCUGGCCUUUUCUUUAAGUAGCGAUUCAUCUCGUUUACACUCAGUGACGUUUGAACUUCAAUCUUAUCCAGCUAACACCUAAAUGCUCCUUGACUCAGCUAAGUUGCCUAUCCGCCCCGUCCUUUAUUUUUUUAUUUUCUAAGUUAAUAGAUGAUUUUCUAGCAUAAUUGAAGUCAAUGGAAAAGAUAGCACGGAGCUUUAGGAAACUACUAUUAUUAAACCCGUCUUAACUUGGUGUAUUGACUCAGUUAAGAAAAGAUGUUUUAGUUAAAAAACAAAGACCUUAAAAUAUUGUCGUUUUAAAUUUAUUCCAGUUAAUUAGAAUUCGUUGAAUCUUUAAAUUAAAUUAUUUUUUAAAAUAUUUUUUUAUUUAUAAAAAUAUUAAAAUAAUAUUUGUUAUUUUUAAAAUUUAUUUUCCAUACAACAUAUCAAAAUUAUUUAAAAUUAUAAAAAUAAAAUAAAUUCAAAAAUCUUUUUAAAAAUCUUUUUAAAGGCGCGCAAACAGUCUCUUGAUAUUAAAUUUGUACUAAGCAAUGCUCAUUUUAAAGAGAGAGAAAGGAGUUUAAUGCAUAACCACUGUAAAAUGUGAAAGGAGUUGUUUUAUUUAUUUUUUUUUAUUUUUUUUAUUAGUGCUGCUUAAUUAACUUCAUGGAAGUUUUAACAUUUUUCACUUGGCUAGCAUCUGUCCCUGGGCAUGACAGCUAGAAUAAUUAAUAAAGUAACAAGUCAAACUAUAAGUUAGUCACUAUUUUUUUAAGAAAAUAAUUAAUUGGUCUAUUUAGGGGUACUUGAUAUAGAGUUUCAACUUGUUUUUAUUUAUUUAUUAUUAUUAAAAUUUGAUUUUUUUCUUCAAAUUAAUUUUCUUAGUAUUUUUAAAUUGUUUUUAUGUGCUCGUUUAAAAAUUAAAUCUUAAAAAAAUUAAAAAAUAUUAUUUUAAUGUAUUUUUAAAUAAAAAAUAUUUUAAAAAUCAACUGUCGUUGGUAUACUUUCAAACACUUUUAUUUCAAAAAUCAUACAUUAAUCUUUUGGCAAUUUUUCAUCAUUAACUUAUAAACAAUAAAUAUAUUAUUUUUCAAUUAAAAAUAAAAAAAUGACAACAAAAUACUUCAAUUAAAAACAAAAAAACAUUUCAUUGGUACGUAAGCGUGUAUUGGAUAUUAUAAGAGUGUUACAUCUUGCACGUAUUUCUUCAAGUUACAAGUUGCUUGACAAUUGAUUUAUAUAUAAUAAGUCUUUCGUGAUUUUAUUUUGUAUGAGUGGGAAAAGUUAGAUAUGUGGUUAUUUGAACUCGGAGAGGACUAAAUUAAAAUUUAAUUAUGAAGUGAGAAGUGAUGAGCCAGGGAGGUAAGUAAAAUGGUAUAAUCUUUUUUAUUUUCACUUAGAAAUUUUUUAAAUACAACAACGUGUCAAAAAAAAUUAUAUAUAAUAUUUUUUGCUGAAAAAAUAAUAUCUAACAUGUGGAGAAGCGUUGGUCAAGUAUCUAGUCAUUGUCUAAAACUGUAACCUCUCUAGGUGAAAAAUCAUAAAUUAAGUAGUUUUAUGCAAAACAAAAAAAAUCCAUAACUCUCAAUUGGUUUAUCAAAAAAUUUCAUCCUCGAAAUUUAAAUUCAUAUCUAUGUAAGAAAAUAAUCCUAGAUAUUUCUUCUUAAUUUCUAACUCUCUCUCCCAGGUUUCUUCUUAUAUUUAAGAGUUUCUCCACAAUACUUUUACUAACAACACCUUUUUAUUUUGUAAUUCCCUUAUACUUUGGUCCAUAAUUUGCACAGGUUGUAUUUCUAUAGUUAAAUCUUCCUGUACUUCAUCGAAUUUGUGGCAAAAUUUAUGCAUGAUCCAAGUCUACUUUCCACGGCAUUAGUAUUUGAUAAGCAACCAACCCGAUUCUUUCUAUAAUUUUAUAUGACCCAAUAUACCUAGGUGCUAAUUUGUCUUUCAUUCCAAACUGAAUCACAUACUUCCAUGGAGCAACUUUUAAAAAUACCAUGAAUGAUAUGUGAUGCAGGAUGAUUGGAUCAAGAUGGAAGUUGUAAUGAUAUAUAAUAGAAGUAUUGUCGAUAACUUGGUACCAACAAAAAUGGAGAAAACUUUGUCAAAAUGUUCAAAAAAAAAAUCCAUAAUCUUAGACAUAUUAUUCAAUACUUGAUAUUAGUAAAGAAAUAUUUGAGAUUUCAUGACAUUAUAAUUUAAGGAUGUUACAAAAACAAUUAAAAAAAAACUUGUUCUAAGUUAAAUUUCAAAUUAGCAAGUUACGGUAAACUAGUUACGUUGUAUCGGGUUUAUGUUGUAUUUGUAAGUGUAGUAAUGAUUUUUUUUAAAGUGUUUUUUACUUGGAAAUACAUGAAAAUAAUUUUUUUUAUUUUUUAAAAAUUAUUUUUAAUAUUAGCAUAUCAAAACAAUUUUAAAAAAAUAAUUUCGAAUAAUUUUUUUAAAAAAAUUAAAAAACACGGCUUCAACAACAAAAUAAAUCAGACUUCCUGCUAUGAAAUUAUUUCAUAGCCUGCUUUUGAUGGAAUCGUCAAAGUGGAAACCGAUUUCAGACUGCCCCAAAAACAGUCCCUAAUCCCCUUUGAUUCCAGGAAACUCACUGCGGGACUUAAAUGGUAUCUGCCUGCACAGCCAAGUCAAAACCGUCCUGGUCUUCCUAUUUGUAAAUAGAGAGGACCGGUAUAGUCUUUAAUAACCAUGGUACUUCAUAUGUUUUUGAAACACAUUUAUUUUAUAAUGAAUAUUAUUUAACUUUGAUUUUUUGUUUUUGAUGUUUAAUAUAAAUUUUAUUUGUAUAAUUAGUUUUUGUUACCAUUAAUUUAUAUAAUUUUAUAUUAUGUAUUCUAAAUAAUUUUUAAAAAACAAAUUAAAAAAAAAACUAUUACAAAGGGUUUUACCGACGAAAUUAAUCCGUCGGUAUUUGACAGUAGCUGCCACAAUUACCAACGAAUUUAUAGAUGGAUAAAUUCGGUCGGUAUUUCAUAUAUUUACCGACAGAUUUCCGACGGACUUAAUCCGUUGGCAUUUUGCCACCAUUACCGACGAAUUUACAAACGGAUAUAUUCGGUCGGUAUUUCAAUCACUCAUCGACAAAUUUACCGACGCAAAGUAGCCAUCGGUAAAUCACCAUAUCACCGACGAAAUAAAAAUCCGUCGGUAUAUUUCAGCGGGAAACUUUUUUUUUUGGCACGCAAAGUCCGUUGGUAAAUGAUUUUUUUGUUUUUCUGACCGAUAUAGCGACAAAAUGAGAUAUCACCGAAGAAAGGAAAGGCUGACGGACGUAUUUCUGUCGGUAAAUAAUUUACCGACGAACUGCUAAUCACACAUCGACAGAAUAUUUCCGUCGGUAAAACUAUGAAAUCUUGUAGUGUUAUAUCAACAUUUCAAAACAAUAUAAAAUACAAAAAAUUUUUAAACAAACAAAUAAAAAAUAUAUAUAAAACACGGUUUCAAUUGGAAAAACAAACAGCAACUUAAUAACUAAGAAAUUCAUAGCCUACUUUUGAUGGAAUCGUCAAAGUGAAACGAUUUCAGACUGCCCAAAAAACAGUCCUAAUCCCCUUGGAUUCCAGGAAACUCACUGGGGACUUAAAUGGUUCUGCCUACAGCCAAGUCAAAACCGUCCUCGUCCUAUAUUUGUAAAUAGCGAGGACCGGCAUAGUCUUUAAUAACCAUGUACUUUUUAUGCAGAAUUCUUCUAUACUUUCAAUGAGAACGGCAGCAAUUUCUUGCCCACAAAACGGUGAUCAGACUUUCUACUAAGAACUAGACACGCAUCGUCCUCCGAAGCUAUAAAUUUGUACCGUUCCAUUGUUGAUACAGAACAAGCUUGGAUCCAACAUGGCUUGCCAAGCAAAAGCUAUCACCCUUUUCUAUCCAUCUUAGCUGUUCUCCUUAUUCAAACCCUCAAACGGUGCAGGCAUCGCCAUCUACUGGGUCAAAAUGGCAAUGAAGGCAGCUUAGCUGAUACUUGCAACUCAGGAACUAUCAAUUUGUGAACGUAGCUUUCCUAUCUAGUUUCGGCAAUGGUCAAUCUCCGGUGCUGAACCUAGCAGGCCAUUGUGACCCCAACGCCGGUACUUGCACCGGCAUAAGCAAUGACAUUAGAUCUUGUCAAAUCAAGGAAUCAAGGUGCUACUUUCCAUUGGAGGUGGUGCAGGCAGCUACUCCCUUUCAUCGGCCGACGAUGCAGGGCAAGUUGCAAACUAUAUCUGGAAUAACUUCCUUGGUGCCAGUCCAGCUCACGUCCGCUAGGCGAUGCCAUCUUAGACGGUUGAUUUUGAAUCGAGG